UAAUGGCUCACCAAGGCGUCGACGGGUAGCCGGCCUGAGAGGGUGACCGGCCACACUGGGACUGAGACACGGCCCAGACUCCUACGGGAGGCAGCAGUGGGGAAUAUUGCACAAUGGGCGGAAGCCUGAUGCAGCAACGCCGCGUGAGGGAUGACGGCCUUCGGGUUGUAAACCUCUUUUAGCAGGGAAGAAGCGAGAGUGACGGUACCUGCAGAAAAAGCGCCGGCUAACUACGUGCCAGCAGCCGCGGUAAUACGUAGGGCGCAAGCGUUAUCCGGAAUUAUUGGGCGUAAAGAGCUCGUAGGCGGUCUGUCGCGUCUGCUGUGAAAACUGGAGGCUCAACCUCCAGCCUGCAGUGGGUACGGGCAGACUAGAGUGCGGUAGGGGAGAUUGGAAUUCCUGGUGUAGCGGUGGAAUGCGCAGAUAUCAGGAGGAACACCGAUGGCGAAGGCAGAUCUCUGGGCCGUAACUGACGCUGAGGAGCGAAAGGGUGGGGAGCAAACAGGCUUAGAUACCCUGGUAGUCCACCCCGUAAACGUUGGGAACUAGUUGUGGGGUCCUUUCCACGGAUUCCGUGACGCAGCUAACGC
rnacentral:rRNA from 1 species